GCUUGUCUCAAAGAUUAAGCCAUGCAUGUCUAAGUGUAAAUAAGUCUAUACUGUGAAACUGCGAAUGGCUCAUUAAAUCAGUUAUCGUUUAUUUGAUGAUCUCUUACUACUUGGAUAACCGUAGUAAUUCUAGAGCUAAUACAUGCGUCAAUACCCUUCUGGGGUAGUAUUUAUUAGAUUGAAACCAACCGCUUCGGCGUGAUGUGGUGAUUCAUAAUAAAUUUGCGAAUCGCAUGGCUUUACGCCGGCGAUGGAUCAUUCAAGUUUCUGCCCUAUCAGCUUUCGAUGGUAGGGUAUUGGCCUACCAUGGCGUUAACGGGUAACGGAGAAUUAGGGUUCGAUUCCGGAGAGGGAGCCUGAGAAACGGCUACCACAUCCAAGGAAGGCAGCAGG
rnacentral:rRNA from 1 species